rnacentral:rRNA from 1 species
AUACGUAGGUGACAAGCGUUAUCCGGAUUUACUGGGCGUAAAGGGCGUGUAGGCGGUCUUGCAAGUCAGAAGUGAAAUUCCUGAGCUCAACUCGGGCGCUGCUUCUGAAACUGCAGGACUUGAGUGCUGGAGGGGAUAGCGGAAUUCCUAGUGGAGCGGUAAAAUGCGCAGAUAUUAGGAAGAACACCGGUGGCGAAGGCGGGGAUGUGGACAGUGACGGACGCUGAGGGGCGAAAGGGUGAGUAGCAAACAGGAUUAGAUUCCCUGGUAGUCCACGCCGUAAACGAUGAAUACUAGGUGUAGGGUGUAUCGACUCCCUCUGUGCCGCAGUUAACACAAUAAGUAUUCCGCCUGGGGAGUACGGCCGCAAGGUUGAAACUCAAAUGAAUUGGCGGGG